UAUCGACUCUGUCAAAUUUUCGUCUUUAUAAGACUUCUUAAAGCAUACUGAAGAAGAUGUAUCGUUACAAGCUUGCUUAUAAGCUUAUACAUGUUAUUAACUACUUACUAACCGAGAGUGAGGUCAUGCCGAGAAAUAUCAAACUGGGGCUUUGGCGUAUCGACCGAGGCUUUGCGAGAAACGCCGCUAUGAACGAACGGUCGAGGUUAGUAAGUUAUUUAUUAUAUGGCUUUUCAAAAUAGAAAUGACAAGAAAACAAAUCAACUUUCGCUUUCGCGUAAUAUCGAUUAUCGAUCGAUUUCAAAAAGGCGGGAAAACAAGAAACACUCGGGCGCUGCCAAAUCAAAAAUGUAAAUGAGUGAAAAGAUUCAACAACAAGUAACUGGACGACUUUUCGGGCUACUAUUUGCACCUUUUGAAAGCUACAGGCUUUAUCAUAGGUGAAGUUGAUCCAAACAAUAACAAAGAAAGCUCAGAUGUCAGUCUUCACGGCAUUAAUGGACUGUUUAGUUCUAAAACUCCACGGUAUGUAGAGAACAAACUUUGGCCAAUCGCUUUGUGCUGCUUUAUGAUUUGAUAGCGGAGCCAGCGCGACCGUAGGAGCCCCAUAGGUACAGAAAUGGUCUAUAACUAGGCGACUCAGUUUUUGUGGUCAAUGACGUCAUUGCCACAAGCUGCCAGCCGGCCGCGAUCUGCCUCGACACAGGCCUCUAGAGCGCGCAAAACAAUAUGGCUCUCAAAAACACACGAAAACUGACUGCAGAAAAGCCAAGAAUUGUCGAAAGAGAAGUGCUUGAAAAAAAUCAUUCGUGGGAAUGCUAACCAGGGAUAUAAACUUGUCUAAUUAUGUGCAAAAGACUGUGUAAAAGCAUGGUUGAAAUUUUUGAAGAGUCAACUCUUGUGCUCGAGUCAAGGUCAGCUGAAAUGUGAGAGUAAGCCAGAAGAUAAAGAAAGAAAAAAUAAGCUAAUUUUAUGGACACCUUCUCCGACAAGUGCUCCUAUGUAUUUGUUUUUGCACUGGUAGACGUAGGUUAAUCUCAGCCAGAGAUUCUGAAAUCAAGCUGAUAGACACAAGCUGCUGGCUAAGAGGCAUAACCCAGGGCAGGAUGUACAUAUAAGGCAUUGGUAUUUAAUGUAGGUCACCAAAAAUAAACACAUAUAAAGUAACAAAAAGUAAGAUAAUAUUUUAAUGGAAAAAUUGUUCUAAAAAAAUGAACCAGAGUUAUAAAAAGAGAAAAACCUAGUUUUUUUUUUCCAAGUUAGCCUGACAGGUUCUUGUAUAAUGUGUAGUUAGUGACAUUUAGGCUAUUUAGGUUCAUAAAUAGUCUCUUGCUAUUACAUGACUCAUGGUAAAGUAAUUGAGAUUGAGUAAGUUAAUCAUAAAAAACAAAAACAGGUCUCCUAUAUGAUCUCUUAAGAUCAUAUUUAAAACUAUUUAGAAAUCAAUUUUCCUAUUUCAACCUAUUUCAAAUUAUAGGCUAAAUAGAUGCUUAUAAAAAGGAUUCUAAUUUGAUAAUUUUAGGUUAACAGGUUCAUUCUAGGUUCUUAUAUGUGGUUCUUAACUGGAUAAUAAAAUAAUGUACUCAGAAUUUGUUCAAAUAUGUCGGAGUGCUUUUAAUCCACCCUUAGCAAAGUUACAUUCUAAAGCACAAUAGAGAAGGUUAAUAAAGUUAUUUUUCUAAUAUUUGAAUUGCUUAAAACUUACACAAGCCCUAUCUUUGCAAGUUAAGUAAAGUGAUUUAAAAAAGUAAAAGGAAUUGGGACAGUACAGGCAGGGAGUGAGUACUUUUACCUGAAAUCCACUGUGAUAGUGUCAUUUGCUGAUAUACUUAUUAAUGUAUAGGAAUUUGACAUGUAUUUGUUUAUUGUUUUUAAUUUUGAAGAGUAUAAAAUAGCACCCAGUUUUUUUUGUGAGGAACUUUAAUUGAUCCUCAUUUUAUAAUAUGACCUCCCUUCACACCUGAAAGCCUUCCCUGUUAAAGCAUAAAUUUAUUUUGCUAAUUUUGCUGUAUCAGUUGUCUAUCAAGUAUAGUUUAGUUAAUGAUAUCCUUAGUAAUGUCAAUAAAUACUUUUUUUACCUA